ensembl:lncRNA
AGGAUGGUGGUGGUAGAGGGAAGGAUGGUGGUGGUAGAAGGAAGGAUGGUGGUGGUAGAGGGAAGGAUGGACGGUGGUGGUAGAAGGAAGGAUGGAUGGUGGUGGUAGAAGGAAGGAAGGAUGGUGGUGGUAGAGGGAAGGAUGGACGGUGGUGGUAGAAGGAUGGUGGUGGUGGUAGAAGGAAGGAUGGUGGUGGUAGAGGGAAGGAUGGACGGUGGUGGUAGAAGGAUGGUGGUGGUGGUAGAAGGAAGGAUGGUGGUGGUAGAGGGAAGGAAGGAUUAUGGUGGUAGAGGGAAGGAUGGACAGUGGUGGUAGAAGGAAGGAAGGAUGGUGGUGGUAGAAGGAAGGAAGGAUGGUGGUGGUAGAAGGAAGGAAGAAUGGUGGUGGUAGAGAGAAGGAAGGAUGGUGGUGGUAGAGCGAAGGAAGGACUGUGGUGGUAGAGAAGGAAGGAUGGUGGUGGUAGAAGGAAGGAAGGAUGGUGGUGGUAGAGAGAAGGAAGGACGGUGGUGGUAGAGAGAAGGAAGGAUGGUGGUGGUAGAGAGAAGGAAGGAUGGUGGUGGUAGAGAAGAGGAAGAAUGGUGGUGGUAGAGAGAAGGAAGGACGGUGGUGGUAGAGAGAAGGAAGGAUGGUGGUGGUAGAAAGAAGGAAGGAUAGUGGUGGUAGAAGGAACAAAGGACGGUGGUGGUAGAGAGAAGGAAGGACGGUGGUAGUAGAAGGAAAGAAGGACGGUGGUGGUAGAAGGAAAGAAGGACGGUGGUGGUAGAAGGAAGGAAGGACGGUGGUGGUAGAGCGAAGGAAGGACUGUGGUGGUAGAAGGAAGGAUGGAUAGUGGUGGUAGAGGGAAGGAUGGAUGGUGGUGGUAGAAGGAAAGAAGGAUGGUGGUGGUAGAAGGAAAGAAGGACGGUGGUGGUAGAAGGAAGGAAGGACGGUGGUGGUAGAGCGAAGGAAGGACUGUGGUGGUAGAGGGAAGGGUGGAUGGUGGUGGUAGAGGGAAGGAUGGAUGGUGGUGGUAGAGGGAAGGAAGGACUGUGGUGGUAGAGGGAAGGAUGGAUGGUGGUGGUAGAGGGAAGGAUGGAUGGUGGUGGUAGAGGGAAGGAAGGAUGGUGGUGGUAGAGGGAAGGAAGGAUGGUGGUGGUAGAGGGAAGGAAGGACUGUGGUGGUAGAGGGAAGGAUGGAUGGUGGUGGUAGAGGGAAGGAUGGAUGGUGGUGGUAGAGGGAAGGAAGGAUGGUGGUGGUAGAGGGAAGGGUGGAUGGUGGUGGUAGAGGGAAGGAUGGAUGGUGGUGGUAGAGGGAAGGAAGGACUGUGGUGGUAGAGGGAAGGAUGGAUGGUGGUGGUAGAGGGAAGGAAGGAUGGUGGUGGUAGAGGGAAGGAAG